rnacentral:rRNA from 1 species
UACGGAGGGUGCGAGCGUUGUCCGGAAUCACUGGGCGUAAAGGGCGCGUAGGCGGCGCGGGCAGUCAACGGUGAAAGCUUGGGGCUCAACCCCGAGUCGGCCGUCGAUACUGCCGGGCUGGAGCACUGUAGAGGCAGGUGGAAUUCCGGGUGUAGCGGUGGAAUGCGUAGAGAUCCGGAAGAACACCGGUGGCGAAGGCGGCCUGCUGGGCAGUAGCUGACGCUGAGGCGCGACAGCGUGGGGAGCAAACAGG